UGGUCAAUGGACGAGAGUCUGAACCAGCCAAGUAGCGUGAAGGAUGACUGCCCUAUGGGUUGUAAACUUCUUUUAUAUGGGAAUAAAAAAGUCCACGUGUGGAUUCUUGUAUGUACCAUAUGAAUAAGCAUCGGCUAAUUCCGUGCCAGCAGCCGCGGUAAUACGGAAGAUGCGAGCGUUAUCCGGAUUUAUUGGGUUUAAAGGGAGCGUAGGCCGGCGGUUAAGUCAGCGGUCAAAUUGGGUGGCUCAACCAUCCCCCGCCGUUGAUACUGGCCGCCUUGAGUGUAUUCAAGGCAGAUGGAAUUCGUGGUGUAGCGGUGAAAUGCUUAGAUAUCACGAAGAACUCCGAUUGCGAAGGCAGUCUGCUGGGUUACAACUGACGCUGAGGCUCGAAAGUGCGGGUAUCAAACAGGAUUAGAUACCCUGGUAGUCCGCACAGUAAACGAUGAAUGCUCGUCCUUGGCGAUAUACUGUCAGGGACCAAGCGAAAGCAUUAAGCAUUCCACCUGGGGAGUACGCCGGCAACGGUGAAACUCAAAGGAAUUGACGGGGGCCCGCACAAGCGGAGGAACAUGUGGUUUAAUUCGAUGAUACGCGAGGAACCUUACCCGGGCUUGAAUUGCAGGUGCAUGAGUGAGAGAUCAUUCUUUCCUUCGGGACUCCUGUGAAGGUGCUGCAUGGUUGUCGUCAGCUCGUGCCGUGAGGUGUCGGCUUAAGUGCCAUAACGAGCGCAACCCUUGUUGUCAGUUACUAACAGGUCAUGCUGAGGACUCUGACAAGACUGCCAUCGUAAGAUGUGAGGAAGGUGGGGAUGACGUCAAAUCAGCACGGCCCUUACGUCCGGGGCUACACACGUGUUACAAUGGGGGGUACAGAAGGCAGCUACACGGCGACGUGAUGCUAAUCCCUAAAACCUCUCUCAGUUCGGAUCGAAGUCUGCAACCCGACUUCGUGAAGCUGGAUUCGCUAGUAAUCGCGCAUCAGCCAUGGCGCGGUGAAUACGUUCCCGGGCCUUGUACACACCGCCCGUCAAGCCAUGAAAGCCGGGGGUGCCUGAAGUCCGUGACCGCAAGGGGCGGCCUAGGGUAAAACCGGUGAUUGGGGCUAAGUCGUAACAAGGUAGCCGUACCGGAAGGUGCGGCUG
rnacentral:rRNA from 1 species